rnacentral:rRNA from 1 species
CAAUAGCGUAUAUUAAAGUUGUUGCAGUUAAAAAGCUCGUAGUUGGAUUUCGGGGCAGCCUGGCUGGUCCGCCGCAGGGCGAGUACUGGUCAGCCGCCCUUCCUCUCGAAAGCCCCGACUGCUCUUCAUUGCAGUGGUCGGGUAGUUCGGGACGUUUACUUUGAAAAAAUUAGAGUGUUCAAGGCAGGCCUACGCCUGAAUACAUUAGCAUGGAAUAAUGGAAGAGGACCUCGGUCCUAUUUUGUUGGUUUCCAGGGCCGAAGUAAUGAUUAAGAGGGACAGUUGGGGGCAUUCGUAUUUAAUUGUCAGAGGUGAAAUUCUCGGAUUUAUGAAAGACGAACAACUGCGAAAGCAUUUGCCAAGGAUGUUUUCAUUAA